CGACGAUGCGUAGGGGUUCUGAGAGGAAGGUCCCCCACACUGGUACUGAGACACGGACCAGACUCCUACGGGAGGCAGCAGUGAGGAAUAUUGGUCAAUGGGAGAGAUCCUGAACCAGCCAAGCCGCGUGAGGGAAGACGGCCCUAUGGGUUGUAAACCUCUUUUGUCGGAGAACAAAACCCGGGACGAGUCCCGGACUGCGUGUAUCCGAAGAAAAAGCAUCGGCUAACUCCGUGCCAGCAGCCGCGGUAAUACGGAGGAUGCGAGCGUUAUCCGGAUUUAUUGGGUUUAAAGGGUGCGUAGGCGGUCUGUUAAGUCAGCGGUAAAAUUGCGGGGCUCAACCCCGUCGAGCCGUUGAAACUGGCAGACUUGAGUUGGCGAGAAGUACGCGGAAUGCGCGGUGUAGCGGUGAAAUGCAUAGAUAUCGCGCAGAACUCCGAUUGCGAAGGCAGCGUACCGGCGCCAGACUGACGCUGAGGCACGAAAGCGUGGGGAUCGAACAGGAUUAGAUACCCUGGUAGUCCACGCAGUAAACGAUGAAUGCUGGUUGUCCGGGUCGAAUGAGAUCUGG
rnacentral:rRNA from 1 species